UGGAAAAGGAUGUGGGAUUUCGAAGACAGCUAGGAUGUUGGCUUAGAAGCAGCCAUACAUUAAAAGAGUGCGUAACAGCUCACUAGUCGAGAGGUCCUGCGCCGAAAAUGUCCGGGGCUAAACACAACACCGAAGCCUGGGAAUGUAGAAAUACAUUGGUAGAGGAGCAUUCUUAGAAGCGUAGAAGCCAUACCGGAAGGAGUGGUGGAGUAAUAAGAAGAGAGAAUGCCGGAAUGAGUAGCGAGAAAGAGGUGAGAAUCCUCUUGGCCGAAUAUCUAAGGUUUCCUGAGUAAAGCUGAUCUACUCAGGGUAAGUCGGGGCCUAAGGCAAGGUCGAAAGACGUAGUCGAUGGAUAACAGGUACAGAUUCCUGUACUACAUAUAAUCAGAACUGUGGGGACACGGAGACUAAAACCGAACCCGGGAGGACAAAAACCGGGGCAAGCGAAGUACCUGUAUGGGAGGAAAAACCACCAUGCAAAGGGAAAACGUGAUGCGUACCGAAAUUUAGUAGGGAAGUCGGUUAGGGAGCCGUCAAGAAAAGCCGCUAUAGUGUUAUAUGUACCCGUACCGCAAACCGACACAGGUAGAUGAGGAGAGAAUCCUAAGGCCGGCGGGAGAAGCAUUGUUAAGGAACUCGGCAAAAUGACCCCGUAACUUCGGGAGAAGGGGUGCCCAGGCAACUGGGCCGCAGAGAAAAGGCUCAAGCAACUGUUUAGCAAAAACACAGGUCUAUGCGAAACCGUAAGGUGAAGUAUAUGGGCUGACGCCUGCCCGGUGCCGGAAGGUUAAGAGGAGAAGUCAGGAAACGAAGCUUUGAAUUGAAGCCCCGGUAAACGGCGGCCGUAACUAUAACGGUCCUAAGGUAGCGAAAUUCCUUGUCGGGUAAGUUCCGACCCGCACGAAAGGCGUAAUGAUUUGAGCGCUGUCUCAACAAUGCACCCGGUGAAAUUGAAGUACCAGUGAAGAUGCUGGUUACCUGCGCCAGGACGGAAAGACCCCAUGGAGCUUUACUCUAGUUUGAUACUGGGAUUCGAUUAUACCUGUACAGGAUAGGUGGGAGGCGAAGAAGCAAGGACGCCAGUCUUUGCAGAGCCGCUGUUGGGAUACCACCCUUGUAUGAUUGGAUUUCUAACCUGCACCCGUGAUCCGGGUGGGGGACACUGUCAGAUGGGGAGUUUGACUGGGGCGGUCGCCUCCGAAAGGGUAUCGGAGGCGCUCAAAGGUUCCCUCAGAAUGGUCGGAAACCAUUCAAAGAGUGCAAAGGCAGAAGGGAGCUUGACUGCGACACCGACGGGUGGAGCAGGUACGAAAG
rnacentral:rRNA from 1 species